CGUCCUUUCUACCCGAGCGGGCAGCGGGGCGUGAGAUGACGUCACAGGCAGCGAGGGUCCCCGCGGCCCGAGGGAUUGUGGGAGAUGUAGUUCUGCCAGGAGCGCGGCCAUUUGGGCCUAGGGGUCCCUCGGCGUGGGGUUCUCAGGUGGAGGCCUGUGUCCCUUGGCAGGACCCUUUGGCAUUGUGUGGUCAAAAUGGUUCCACCCCCAUAGCAGUCCCUCUUCCUCGCUGCUUUGUACCAGGUCUGCUGCUUGGGCAAGGCCUCUGUGGUGGUCUUUUCCAACCUUCAUGAUUUUAUGAUUCUGUGGUCCUCAUCCAGACGCCUCUUCAACACUGCCAGGGACGGCAACUGCACCACCUCCCUGAAAGAAAUCUCAGAAGAGUUCUCAUUGUGAAGCAGUGGCAAUAGUCAUUGCAGCUGGCACAAGAAGCAGCUCUGGCUUUCUGUACACAAUACAGACUUUCCAAAAUACCUAUCUUAUUGUCGUAGGUAUUAGGCAUCCCAUAAAAAUUAACAACUGGAAAAGAACACAAAAUACAGUCUCCUUAAAUAAGAAAGAUUAAAUGUGAGCUGAGAAAGAAGUGAAAUUGAGAAUCAUUUGAACUUCAGUUUACUCCCCCCUUCAAUGCAACGUUGGGUGCUAAUGAUGUUUGCUGAGUGAGAAGCCACACAAUGUUAUUUUACUGCUUUUUCUUAUUUUUUAUUCUGUGCAAUCUUUAUACUAAUAACAUAGAAGUAGAUGGCCUGAUAAGUAUGGCUUCAAGAACUUUGUGGUAAUAUGAACAUCUAGAAAGUAAAGGAGUUCAAGUGUUAUAAAUAAUAAAAUUGGAAACUUCCUAUUUAAAAAUGCUUAU